UCCGUAGGUGGCAAGCGUUGUCCGGAAUUAUUGGGCGUAAAGCGCGCGCAGGCGGUCCUUUAAGUCUGCUGUGAAAGCCCACGGCUCAACCGUGGAGGGUCAUUGGAAACUGGGGGACUUGAGUGCAGAAGAGGAAAGCGGAAUUCCACGUGUAGCGGUGAAAUGCGUAGAGAUGUGGAGGAACACCAGUGGCGAAGGCGGCUUUCUGGUCUGUAACUGACGCUGAGGAGCGAAAGCGUGGGGAGCGAACAGG
rnacentral:rRNA from 1 species